rnacentral:rRNA from 1 species
AGAGUUUGAUCCUGGCUCAGAACGAACGCUGGCGGCGCGCCUAAUACAUGCAAGUCGAGCGAGAAGGUGUAGCAAUACACUUGUAAAGCGGCGAACGGGUGAGGAAUACAUGGGUAACCUACCCUGGAGUGGGGAAUAACCAGCCGAAAGGUUGGCUAAUACCGCAUACGAUUCCCGGACUGCGGUUUGGGAAAGAAAGCGCUACCGUGGGUAGCGCGCUCUUGGAUGGGCUCAUGUCCUAUCAGCUUGUUGGUGAGGUAACGGCUCACCAAGGCUUCGACGGGUAGCUGGUCUGAGAGGACGAUCAGCCACACUGGCACUGCGACACGGGCCAGACUCCUACGGGAGGCAGCAGUAAGGAAUAUUGCGCAAUGGGCGAAAGCCUGACGCAGCGACGCCGCGUGGGGGAUGAAGGUCUUCGGAUUGUAAACCCCUUUCGGGAGGGAAGAUGGGACGGGUAACCGUUCGGACGGUACCUCCAGAAGCAGCCACGGCUAACUUCGUGCCAGCAGCCGCGGUAAUACGAAGGUGGCAAGCGUUGUUCGGAUUUACUGGGCGUAAAGCGUGUGUAGGCGGCUGUUCAAGUCGGUUGUGAAAGCCCUGGGCUCAACCUGGGAAUUGCUUCCGAGACUGAACGGCUAGAGUACGGUAGAGGGCGGUGGAAGUUCCGGUGUAGCGGUGAAAUGCGUAGAUAUCGGAAGGAACACCAAUGGCGAAGGCAGCCGCCUGGGCCUGUACUGACGCUGAGACACGAAAGCGUGGGGAUCAAACAGGAUUAGAUACCCUGGUAGUCCACGCCGUAAACGAUGAGAACUUGACGUCGGCAUGCUCUGCGUGUCGGUGUCGCAGCUAACGCGAUAAGUUCUCCGCCUGGGGAGUACGGCCGCAAGGUUGAAACUCAAAGGAAUUGACGGGGGCCGCACAAGCGGUGGAGUAUGUGGUUUAAUUCGAUGCAACGCGAAGAACUUACCUGGCCUUGACAUGCUAGGAAUCCUGCAGAGAUGUGGGAGUGCCCGCAAGGAACCUAGACACAGGUGCUGCAUGGCUGUCGUCAGCUCGUGUCGUGA